rnacentral:pre_miRNA from 1 species
UUGCGAUGUAGCAUGCCCGUUUGGUGUAAUACUCUGAUGUUAUAUGCUAUUUUAUUUCUUUUGGGUAACGGGGUGUUACAGUA